rnacentral:rRNA from 1 species
UACGAAGGGGGCUAGCGUUGUUCGGAUUUACUGGGCGUAAAGCGCACGUAGGCGGAUCGUUAAGUCGGGGGUGAAAUCCUGGAGCUCAACUCCAGAACUGCCUUCGAUACUGGCGAUCUUGAGUCCGGAAGAGGUGAGUGGAACUCCUAGUGUAGAGGUGGAAUUCGUAGAUAUUCGCAAGAACACCCGUGGCGAAGGCGGCUCUCUGGAACGCAACUGACGCAGG